rnacentral:rRNA from 1 species
CCUACGGGAGGCAGCAGUAGGGAAUUUUCCACAAUGGGCGAAAGCCUGAUGGAGCAACGCCGCGUGCAGGAUGAAGGCCCUUGGGUUGUAAACUGCUUUUCUCUGUGACGAAUCUGACGGUAGCAGAGGAAUAAGGAUCGGCUAACUCCGUGCCAGCAGCCGCGGUCAUACGGAGGAUCCAAGCGUUAUCCGGAAUUACUGGGCGUAAAGAGUUGCGUAGGUGGCAUAGUAAGUUGGUAGUGAAAGCGUCCCGCUCAACGGGAUACACAUUACCAAAACUGCUAAGCUUGAGUAUGGAAGAGGUAGUUGGAAUUCCCAGUGUAGGAGUGAAAUCCGUAGAUAUUGGGAGGAACACCAAUGGCGUAGGCAGACUACUGGUCCAUUACUGACACUAAGGCACGAAAGCGUGGGGAGCAAACGGGAUUAGAUACCCGAGUAGU